rnacentral:rRNA from 1 species
AGUGGCGAACGGGUGAGUAACACGUGAGAAACCUGCCCCGGAGAUCGGGAUAGCCCAGGGAAACCUGGAUUAAUACCGAAUAUCCUCGAAUGGUCGCAUGGCCGAUCGAGGAAAUGGUCCGCCGCUCCGGGAUGGUCUCGCGUCCUAUCAGCUAGUUGGUGAGGUAAUGGCUCACCAAGGCAACGACGGGUAGCUGGUCUGAGAGGACGAUCAGCCACACUGGGACCGAGACACGGCCCAGACUCCUACGGGAGGCAGCAGCAGGGAAUUUUGCACAAUGGGCGCAAGCCUGAUGCAGCGACGCCGCGUGGGGGAUGAAUGCCUUCGGGUUGUAAACCCCUUUCAGGAGGGACGAAGCGAAAGUGACGGUACCUCCAGAAGAAGCCCCGGCCAACUACGUGCCAGCAGCCGCGGUAAUACGUAGGGGGCGAGCGUUGUCCGGAUUUAUUGGGCGUAAAGAGCUCGUAGGCGG